CCUACGGGAGGCAGCAGUGAGGAAUAUUGGUCAAUGGGCGGGAGCCUGAACCAGCCAAGUCGCGUGCGGGAUGACGGCCCUAUGGGUUGUAAACCUCUUUUGCCUGGGAGCAAAGUGCCGCUCGUGUGCGGCUUGUUGAGUACCCGGUGAGAAAGCAUCGGCAAACUCCGUGCCAGCAGCCGCGGUAAUACGGAGGAUGCGAGAGGUAUCGGGUUUUAUUGUGUUUAAAGGGUGCGUAGGCGGACGCUUAAGUCUGCGGUAAAAUUGUGGGGCUCAACCUCGUAGAGCCGUUGAAACUGGGUGCCUUGAGUGGGCGAGAAGAAGGCGGAAUGCGUGGUGUAGCGGUGAAAUGCAUAGAUAUCACGAAGAACUCCGAUUGCGAAGGCAGGGGACCGGCGCCCAACUGACGCUGAAGCACGAAGGCGUGGGUAUCGAACAGGAUUAGAUACCCCAGUAGUC
rnacentral:rRNA from 1 species